rnacentral:misc_RNA from 1 species
GUUAAAAUAAAAAAAAAAAAAAAAAUUCAAAUUCAUUGUUGUGUCUUGAAAUCUCAAAACAGCUAACCGGAAUCCUCUUGAAGAAACGGAAGAAAGCCUAACCACCAUCUUGGUCUCCCUCAAAAUGGCCCCUACACCUUCUUCUUCUAAAUUAAACCAAACCCGAUCGAUCAAGACUCCACAAUCUAAACAUCGUCUCAAUUUUACUUCAGCAAGAACCCCAAAUCCACAUCCAUCUCCCAACCCAAACUCAACGGUCAAAGAAACCCCUCAAGGAGACCAUCCCAUUGAAGUUAUUGGUCGGAUUCGUGAUUAUCCUGACAGAAAAGAAAAACCCAGUUCAAUCUUGCCAGCAAAUCCAGAUAACCAGACUCUCCGUGUCCGUGCUGAUAUUGGGUAUAGAGAUUUUACUCUUGAUGGGAUUUCUUUCUCCGACGAAGAAGAUCUUGAUGCCUUUUACAAGAAGUUUGUGGAAUCUAGGAUUAAUGGGGUCAAAUUGGGGAACAAAUGCACCAUUAUGAUGUAUGGCCCAACAGGGUCGGGGAAGAGUCAUACCAUGUUCGGGUGCUCAAAGCAACCUGGGAUUGUAUAUCGAUCAUUAAAGGAUAUAUUGGGAGAGGGAGAAGAAUGGAGUGAAGGAAGUGAUGGGGGGAGAUUAAAGAUGGGCACAUUUGUGCAAGUUACCGUUUUGGAGAUAUACAAUGAGGAAAUUUAUGAUCUUUUGUCAAGUAAUGGUGGAGGCGGAUUUGGAAUUGGCUGGCCCAAAGGUGGAAAUGGAUCUAAGGUAAAGUUACCUUAAAUUUUGGAUUGGUGUCUCAAUGAUUAGUUUCAUAUAUGCACAUGUAUGAAAAUGUGUUGUUUGGUAUGUAGUUGUGUAAAUGAAUCUUUUCUCUUAUUAUAUAUUUUCUUAAAUGUGCUGUUGUUGGGACCUGGAAUUCCGUUUCAGUUUUGUUUGUCUAGGAGGAUAUGGCAAUUUUUAUGUUGGUAAAUUUUCCCUUAUCAUUAGGGUAUAUGAUCAUAUGCUACCGUUUAAAGAAAGAGUAUUUCUCUGGACAUUGAAGUUGCUUGUAAUUUUAUUUGCUUCACUAAAGCUGUAAGCUAUCGCUGUUUGAUUUCAAAGUAUGUCUAGGUUGAAUUCCAAUUGACCUUGAAGAAAGUAAGCCUGUUUUUUCAUCUGCUUCUUUGUGAUAUUAGAUUGAUAUAAAGUUCAGGGGUACCGUACACAAAUAUUAGAUUUGAUACAGUAAUUCUUUAUUUGAAGAAGUGGGGCAAUUCAUAAAUUCAUCAAUUCUAGGUUAGUGUUAUGUUUUAUUUUGAGGGAGUUCUGUGUGUGUAAUCUAAUUUGUAGGUAAGACUUGAAGUUAUGGGAAAAAAGGCCAAAAAUGCUACUUACAUAUCUGGGACUGAACCUGGAAAAAUUUCCAAGGAGAUUCAGAAAGUGGAGAAGCGAAGGAUUGUUAAGAGUACCCUCUGCAAUGACCGAAGUUCCAGGAGCCACUGCAUGAUAAUCCUGGAUGUCCCAACUGUGGGAGGACGGCUUAUGCUUGUUGAUAUGGCAGGCUCAGAAAACAUAGAACAAGCCGGGCAAAACACUUUUGAAACCAAGAUGCAGACAGCAAAAAUUAACCAAGGAAAUAUAGCGUUGAAGAGAGUGGUUGAAUCCAUUGCUAAUGGAGAUUCUCAUGUACCCUUUAGAGAUAGCAAGUUGACUAUGCUUCUCCAGGAUUCCUUUGAGGAUGAUAAGUCAAAAAUUUUGAUGAUAUUAUGCGCAAGUCCAGAUCCUAAGGAGAUACAUAAGACUAUCUGCACCCUUGAAUAUGGAGCAAAAGCAAAGUGUAUUGUUCGUGGUCCUUAUACUCCGAUUAAGGAUAAAGUUGGUACUGAUGAUUCUUCCGGUGUAAUCUUAGGAUCCAGGAUAGCAGCCAUGGACCAAUUUAUAUAUAAACUACAAAUGGAGAACAAGCAAAGAGAGAGAGAAAGAAAUGAGGCUCACAAACAGCUCCAAAAGAAAGAAGAAGAAGUUGCUGCACUGAGAGCACUUAUUGAAGGGAAGGGAUCUGCAGCAAGUGAAGAAGAGAUCAACUUGAAGGUGAAUGAGCGCACAAGGAUGUUGAAACUUGAGUUGGAAAAGAAGUUGGAGGAGUGUCAGAGAAUGACUGAAGAGUGUGUUGAAUUGGAGAGGAGGAGAAUGGAAGAAAGGAUACUGCAACAGCAGCAGGAAGUUGAAAUGCUGAGAAGGCGUUUGGAAGAAAUUGAAUUUGAGCUAUGCCAUGCCAGGGAUGAAUAUAAUGAAGAUAGGUCAAAAGACAUGGAUGAUGAAAGCAGCUUUGCCAGAAGGCUGUUGGGAGUUUAUGCUGAUGAGGAUCCGGGAAUGGUGAAAUCAAUGGAUUUGGACAUGGGUGAUCAACAAGCAUUUGUUCCUGAUGUGAAAUAUGUAGAUAUGGCUGUUCAAAAUUCUACCAGCAUUUGCAUCCAACGUUUGGCCAACUAUCCUCAUUUAAAUAACUUGAACCAGGUGGUUGAUCAAGAUGCUUUCGUGCCAAAAUAUGGUGGCAAAAUAUGUCUGAGCACUGUAUUUGAGGAAGAAGAGGUAGAAGAAGAGGAACAUAAAGAGAAAGUGGAAGAUGACGAAGUGGAGAAAGGAGUGAUAGAGGUAAAGAGGAUUGUUGGUGGGUCUAGCUCUGGAAUAGAUUUUGAUGCAGGCUCUAAAUUUGAGGCCCCUGACCCAUCUAGUGGAAAUUUGGGGCAAGAAAGUUGUUUGAAAGACGAAUCAGAGGGGAGGUGUCUGAGUUCAGGACCGCAAAACGAAUCUGAGAGCGUUGAUGCAGCCUCUUCAAGACGAUUAAGAAUCCAGAAUAUAUUUACACUUUGUGGGAACCACAGAGAGCUCUCUCAACAGAUCAGAACUCCAGCAGCGCCCGCAAAAAAGAUGUUUGAAGACAGUAAAGAAAAUUACAAUCCAUCGAAAGAAAGCAAUGAUGCACAAAUUGAUGUGCACGUGAAAUGGGAGGCAACUAAAGGAAAUAAUGGCAAGUUCAUUACAACACUCAAGGUUGUGAGGGAUGCAACACUUGCUGAUCUGCGAAAGCUGAUUGAAAUCCAUCUUGGUGCCGAUAAUCAAGCAUUUUCUUUUCUUGUGCUUGGGGAUCCUAAUGGAGCAACAAUUCCAAAGGAGAAGGAAUCAACAGUCCAGGCCAUCAAACUCCCCAUUUGCAACAACCAGUCACAUGGUCACCUUGCUUGCUUGCGACCAUUGAAUCAUCUCCCAUUAAGCCCUCUUCCAGUGACUCCCCUGGAAAACAAGCUCCCAUUGACUCCCCUGGAAAACAAACUACCACUGGAAAACAAGCUCCCAUUGACUCCCCUGGAAAACAAACUACCACUGGAAAACAAACUACCACUCACAUGUGAUGGUCUAUCACCCAAACUAGCUCAGCACCUAAAUUCUACACCUUUCAUUACUCUACGAAAACAUUAAUGAAUUAAGGCUGUGAAGUGCACCGAGUAUAUAUAUGCUUAUGUACUCUUUUUGUUUGUGGUUGAAAUGUGAAUUUGUUGAUAUGUGAAGUGACUUUGUAAAGUAAAACAUAGUAAGUAGUAAGUAAUGUUUGCAUCUUCA